GUGUUUGGAUCAUCCCUGCCGGAUGGCUCCGUGCCCUGCCACCGAACGGUCGGCAGGCGAUCCGCUUCGGUCGUGAGAGGUGGGAUGAUUCCCUAGAGGCUGAUUCUUGUGUUGCCUACCCCUUCAAGGGAAGAGCUCCACUUGACGGUUAAGCCUCCAUCCGGCGCCUUCCAAUGGCACAGGAGGACAACAGAGCACCCCCCGCGUUCCACUGAGCCGUUGUCGGUCUGUAGCCCGCAGGGGAUGUGCAAUGCUCUCGGACCCAAUGCACGCUGUAAGUGAGGACUCACGUCCCAGUCCCAAGAGAAGCUUCGGUAUAAUGUAUGACGGCCGCUCCCACCCCCCGACCGCCCUGGCGAUGUAAGGGCGAGGCGCAGCGUCACGGAGGAAUGCUACCUGGUUGAUCCUGCCAGUAUUCAUAUGCUUGUCU
rnacentral:misc_RNA from 1 species